UCGGUGGCUGUUCUUUGACUGACAUCCACGCUGCCGGUUCGGGACUCUAAUGCAGAUUGCGUCGCUGGCUGUUCCUUGAUUUACAUCCACGCUGCCCCUUCGGGGUUCCGACGCAGGUAGCGUCGCUGGCUGUUCUUUGAUUGACAUCCACGCUGCCGGACGCCGCUUCGGGACUUUGACGCAGGUUGCAUUGCUGGCAGUUCUUUGAUUGACAUCCACGCUGCCGGACGCCGCUGCGGUACUCUGACGCGGGUUGCAUUGCUGGUAGUUCUUUGAUUGACAUCCACGCUGCCUCACGCCACUUCGGGACUCUGACGCAGGUUGCGUCGCAGGCUGUUCUUUGAUUGACAUCCACGCUGCCGCACGCCGCUUCGGGACUCUGACGCAAGUUGCGCCGCUGGGUGUUCUUUAAUUGACAUCUACGGUGCUGCACGCCGCUUCGGGACUCUGACGCAGGUUGCGCCGCUGGCUGUUCUUUAAUUGACAUCUACGGUGCUGCACGCUACUUCGUGACUCUGACGCAGGUUGCGCCGCUGGCUGUUCUUUAAUUGACAUCCAUGCUGCCGGACGCCGCUUCGGGACUCUGACGCAGGUUGCAUUGCUGGCAGUUCUUUGAUUGACAUCCACGCGGCCGCACGCCGUUUCGGAACUCUGACGCAGGUUGCGUCGCUGGCUGUUCUUUGAUUGACAUCCACGCUGCCGCACGCCGCUUCGGGACUCUGACGCAGGUUGCGCCGCUGGCUGUUCUUUAAUUGACAUCUAUGGAGCUGCACGCCACUUCAGGACUCUGACGCAUGUUGUGUG
rnacentral:lncRNA from 1 species